rnacentral:rRNA from 1 species
GAUGAACGCUGACAGAAUGCUUAACACAUGCAAGUCAACUUGAAUCUGGGUUUUUAACUUAGGUUUGGGUGGCGGACGGGUGAGUAACGCGUAAAGAACUUGCCUCACAGCUAGGGACAACAUUUGGAAACGAAUGCUAAUACCUAAUAUUAUGAUAAUAGGGCAUCCUAUAAUUAUGAAAGCUAUAAGCGCUGUGAGAGAGCUUUGCGUCCCAUUAGCUAGUUGGAGAGGUAACGGCUCACCAAGGCGGUGAUGGGUAGCCGGCCUGAGAGGGUGAUCGGCCACAAGGGGACUGAGACACGGCCCUUACUCCUACGGGAGGCAGCAGUGGGGAAUAUUGGACAAUGGACCGAGAGUCUGAUCCAGCAAUUCUGUGUGCACGAUGAAGUUUUUCGGAAUGUAAAGUGCUUUCAGUUGGGAAGAAACAAAUGACGGUACCAACAGAAGAAGUGACGGCUAAAUACGUG